UACGUAGGCAGCGAGCGUUGUUCGGAAUUACUGGGCGUAAAGAGUGUGUAGGCGGCGCUCUAAGUUCGGUGUGAAAUCUCUCGGCUUAACUGGGAGGGUGCGCCGGAAACUGGAGUGCUCGAACGUGGGAGAGGAAAGCGGAAUUCCUGGUGUAGCGGUGAAAUGCGUAGAUAUCAGGAGGAACACCGGUGGCGAAGGCGGGUCUCUGGGCCGAUACUGACGCUGAGGAGCGAAAGCGUGGGGAGCGAACAGG
rnacentral:rRNA from 1 species